GGGCCGCAGAUGAAGAGGAGGCGGUGGCAGUGGUGGAAGAAGAGGCGGCGGCGGCGGGGGUAGGGAUCCUGGAAACGCGAGCGGGGAUGGUAGGUGGUUUGGACCCGCCGGGCCGCCGUCGUUUCCAGAAAGGGUUUGACUGGAGGAACCUCUGGAGCAGCUGUUGGCUGGUUCCUCUGGCUGAUGGCAUGUUGAAGUACAUGGGCCAGCGGCAGCGAGGGCAUCCAUUCCAGAGGGGGCCACUUUAGAGGCCAGGCCGCCAGCACCAUGGGCCAGUGUGUCACCAAGUGCAAGAAUCCCUCAUCAACCUUGGGCAGCAAGAAUGGAGACCGGGACUCCAGCAGCAAAUCACACAGCAGGCGAAGUGCAGGCCACCGUGAGGAACAGGUGCCACCUUGUGGCAAGCCAGGUGGGGAUAUCCUCGUCAAUGGGACCAAGAAGGCGGAGGCUGCCACUGAGGUCUGCCAGUUGCCAACGUCCUCGGGAGAUGCUGGGAGGGAGUCCAAGUCCAAUGCUGAAGAGUCUUCCUUGCAGAGGUUGGAAGAACUGUUCAGGCGCUACAAGGACGAGCGGGAGGAUGCAAUUUUGGAAGAAGGCAUGGAACGCUUUUGCAAUGACCUAUGUGUCGACCCCACGGAAUUUCGAGUGCUGCUCUUGGCUUGGAAGUUCCAGGCUGCUACCAUGUGCAAAUUCACCAGGAAGGAGUUUUUCGAUGGCUGCAAGGCAAUAAGUGCAGACAGCAUUGACGGGAUCUGUGCGCGGUUCCCUAGCCUCUUAACAGAAGCCAAACAGGAGGAUAAAUUCAAGGAUCUCUACCGGUUUACAUUUCAGUUUGGCCUGGACUCUGAAGAAGGGCAGCGGUCACUGCAUCGGGAAAUAGCCAUUGCCCUGUGGAAACUAGUCUUCACUCAAAACAACCCUCCAGUAUUGGACCAGUGGCUAAACUUCCUAACAGAAAACCCCUCGGGGAUCAAGGGCAUCUCCCGGGACACUUGGAACAUGUUCCUUAACUUCACUCAGGUGAUUGGCCCCGACCUCAGCAACUACAGUGAAGAUGAGGCCUGGCCAAGUCUCUUUGAUACCUUUGUGGAGUGGGAAAUGGAGCGAAGGAAAAGAGAAGGGGAAGGGAGAGGUGCACUCAGCUCAGGGCCCGAGGGCUUGUGUCCCGAGGAGCAGACUUAGUGGCUCUGUCCCAGGAGCAGCAGCAAAGAGCUGCCUGCUGUCCUGCAGCCAACCAAGGAAUUGGACCUUUCUGGAAAUUACUGAAGAUCCGGAUAUUUUCUACUUUACACCUUUCUCUGCCUUCACCUCGUCUCAGCUGCUUGCCUUAGCAGUUCUUCCUCAUCCUGCGAGAUGUGCUCACAUGUUGUGUUAGGUCCAGGAACUUAUGUCUACUCUUCUGAUAAGGGAAGAAGAAAAAUCCAGAGGUGAGUGAAGAUCCAAAUUUCAACCAAACCUCAUGGUCCAGGGAAAUUAAUUGAAAAUGUACAAGACAGUGUUUUCAGUAUUAAACUUCCCCGUGGAAGGUGUAUAAACCAGCCUUCUUGGAAAGGAAGAAAGGAUUAAGCCACACAGUAUUAGUCUCUGAAACAGUACUGAUCUCCCAGGAGCUGCUGCCAAAAUUCAGUCCUUGGUGCCGGAGGCUACAAGGGAGAAGCUACCGGGGUAAAGACUUGUCUUACGGUUUACAAAACAGGUUCUAUUUCGGACUGUUGGGUUUGCCAUAUUUCAAAUGAAAUCUUCAGGGUAGUAAAGCCCAAAGGUAGAGUCAACUAUACUGUUAUUAAGGUAAGGACUGAACAAAAGCUGCUCCUAGGGAUUCUUUGUUCUUUUGGUUUGGCUUUUUUUUUUUUUUUUUUUUGGUGGCUUGCAGUUUUUCUUGUCUGUUAUGUUUGGUUAAUGACGACUUGAAUAUCGUGAUAACUGACAAAGGUCUUCCUUGGUGGACUUGAAUAUCUUGGUAACUGACAAAGGUCUUCCUUGGAGGACUCCAGCAGUAUAUUGUUUAAAUGGCUAUAAAAGGACUAUUACAGUUAUUGAAAUGUGUUACCCAGGACUCAUUUGAGGACAUGUGACAUUGCUCGUCCUCACUCCAUAUGUUUUCUGAGUCAUUUAGAGGGGGUGCCCACCUACCGCCUUCAAGUUCAUUCCCAUUGUAAGCCGUAACUAUGGCAUCUAUCCAGUUUCACUUGGAUUGGGACUGCAUGUCAGUGAUGACCAGCAGGGUGUUUUUUUUUUUUUCUUUCUCAAAGAAAAUAAAUAAAUUGAUGCUUGAGCCCUGGUUGCAGAAGCCAAGAUGGCUUGCAUUAAACAUCAGGUUCUGCUUCUGCUUCAGAUGCUGGGGCAUCUUGUCCUCCCCAUUCCUUGCUAGAAACCCAGCUUGCUCUCAGAUACUCACUUGUCUACCACCCACCUUUUUUCCUCACUGCUGUCAACACAAAUCUUUGAUGUUGCCAAAGGAAGCCAGCUGUUUGUUUUGUCCCCCUGCUUCCCUAACACAUAGAUGCGCUCUGGAAGUGUCUUCUGACUCUGGUCCCCAGCUCUCUCGUCUGUGAUCAAUUGCUCUUACCUGUUGCACUAAUGAGUAUAGUUCUAAGUUUCAAAGGGGGAAUUUGAAGCAAUAGGCAAAUGGGGCAUGGAUGGUUUGGUCCUACAGGUAUCCUGCCUUAAGCUGUCGAGGUGAUGAGUCCACUGCUCAUGUGACCCUCCCCCACUGUUGUGGAUCCCUCUUGGUUUGUGACCAGCGUGUCUAUUUCUUGGGGCUGUACAAACUUGACAAAAGUUAAUACUUUUGAUUGUGUUCUCUGCACUGUUGCACUCUUCAAAUGGCCCCUUGAAUAUUUUUAUUAACUUGUUACACACAUUUUUGUCUUUGAUGUCUACAUUAUUUUUUUCUUUUGAUGUUUUAUUUGGAAGGUUAUCUGCUGUUGGAUUUAAUAAAUUUGUUUACUUGAUUAUUGACA